rnacentral:rRNA from 1 species
AUACGUAGGGGGCGAGCGUUGUCCGGAAUUACUGGGCGUAAAGGGUGCGUAGGCGGCCCUUUAAGUCGGAUGUGAAAGCCCGCGGCUUAACCGCGGAAUGGCAUUCGAAACUGGAGGGCUUGAGUGUCGGAGAGGGUAGUGGAAUUCCCAGUGUAGCGGUGAAAUGCGUAGAUAUUGGGAGGAACACCAGUGGCGAAGGCGACUACCUGGACGAUAACUGACGCUGAGGCACGAAAGCUAGGGGAGCAAACAGGAUUAGAUACCCUGGUAGUCCUAGCCGUAAACGAUGGGUACUAGGUGUGGGUGGUUUCGAUACCAUCCGUGCCGUAGUUAACGCAUUAAGUAUUCCGCCUGGGGAGUACGGCCGCAAGGUUGAAACUCAAAUGAAUUGGCGGGG